rnacentral:rRNA from 1 species
CUUGACUGCGAGCGUGACGGCGCGAGCAGGUGCGAAAGCAGGUCAUAGUGAUCCGGUGGUUCUGAAUGGAAGGGCCAUCGCUCAACGGAUAAAAGGUACUCCGGGGAUAACAGGCUGAUACCGCCCAAGAGUUCAUAUCGACGGCGGUGUUUGGCACCUCGAUGUCGGCUCAUCACAUCCUGGGGCUGAAGUAGGUCCCAAGGGUAUGGCUGUUCGCCAUUUAAAGUGGUACGCGAGCUGGGUUUAGAACGUCGUGAGACAGUUCGGUCCCUAUCUGCCGUGGGCGCUGGAGAACUGAGGGGGGCUGCUCCUAGUACGAGAGGACCGGAGUGGACGCAUCACUGGUGUUCGGGUUGUCAUGCCAAUGGCACUGCCCGGUAGCUAAAUGCGGAAGAGAUAAGUGCUGAAAGCAUCUAAGCACGAAACUUGCCCCGAGAUGAGUUCUCCCUGACUCCUUGAGAGUCCUGAAGGAACGUUGAAGACGACGACGUUGAUAGGCCGGGUGUGUAAGCGCAGCGAUGCGUUGAGCUAACCGGUACUAAUGAACCGUGAGG